UACGUAGGGUGCAAGCGUUAAUCGGAAUUACUGGGCGUAAAGCGUGCGCAGGCGGUUGUGCAAGACAGACGUGAAAUCCCCGGGCUUAACCUGGGAAUGGCGUUUGAAACUACGGAGCUGGAGUAUGGCAGAGGGGGGUGGAAUUCCACGUGUAGCGGUGAAAUGCGUAGAUAUGUGGAGGAAUACCGAUGGCGAAGGCAGCCCCCUGGGAUAACACUGACGCUCAUGCACGAAAGCGUGGGGAGCAAACAGG
rnacentral:rRNA from 1 species